rfam:Gorilla gorilla gorilla genomic chromosome, chrX, whole genome shotgun sequence
GCUGGGCGUGGUGGUGCACGCCUGUAAUCUCAGCUACUCAGGAGGCUGAGACAGAAGAAUUGCUUGAGUCUGGGGGUCAGAGGCUGCAGUGAGCCGAUAUCGUGCCACUGCACUUCAGCCUGGGCUACAGAGCCAGACUCCGUCUCAA